ACGAACGCUGGCGGCGUGCUUAACACAUGCAAGUCGAACGGAAAGGCCCUGCUUUUUUGGGGUGCCCGAGUGGCGAACGGGUUAGUAACCCGUUAGUAACCUGCCCUUGACUUUUGGAUUACCUCAGGAAACUGGGGCUUAUACCGGAUAGGAGCUCCUGCUGCCUGGUGGGGGGUGGAAAGUUUCGGCGGUUGGGGAUGGACUCGCGGCUUAUCAGCUUGUUGGUGGGGUAGUGGCUUACCAAGGCUUUGACGGGUAGCCGGCCUGAGAGGGUGACCGGCCACAUUGGGACUGAGAUACGGCCCAGACUCCUACGGGAGGCAGCAGUGGGGAAUAUUGCACAAUGGGCGGAAGCCUGAUGCAGCAACGCCGCGUGCGGGAUGACGGCCUUCGGGUUGUAAACCGCUUUCGCCUGUGACGAAGCGUGAGUGACGGUAAUAGGUAAAGAAGCACCGGCUAACUACGUG
rnacentral:rRNA from 1 species